GACGUAGGGUCCAAGCGUUGUCCGGAUUUACUGGGCGUAAAGAGCGCGUAGGCGGUCUGUUAAGUGUAGAGUGAAAUCUCUGGGCUCACCCCAGAAACUGCUCUGCAUACUGGCAGACUUGAGGGAUGCAGAGGUUUGUGGAAUCCUGGUGUAGCGGUGAAAUGCGCAGAUAUCAGGAGGAACACCGGUGGCGAAGGCGGGUCUCUGGGCAGUAACUGACGCUGGAGGAGCGAAAGCGUGGGAGCGAACAGG
rnacentral:rRNA from 1 species